CAGAGGUCCCAAGCGUUGUUCGGAUUUACUGGGCGUAAAGGGUGCGUAGGCGGUUGUUUAAGUCUGACGUGAAAUCUCCGGGCCUAACCCGGAAACUGCGUUGGAUACUAUUCAACUAGAGGAAUGGAGGGGAGACUGGAAUACUUGGUGUAGCAGUGAAAUGCGUAGAUAUCAAGUGGAACACCAGUGGCGAAGGCGAGUCUCUGGACAUUUCCUGACGCUGAGGCACGAAAGCCAGGGGAGCAAACGGGAUUAGAUACCCCGGUAGUCCUGGCCCUAAACGGUGCGCGUUUGCUGUAAGUGGAAUCGACCCCACUCGUGGCGUAGUUAACACGUUAAACGCGCCGCCUGGGAAGUACGGCCGCAAGGUUA
rnacentral:rRNA from 1 species